AGCAGGGAGUCAGCCGCCCGGCUCUGCCCAGGGCUGGGAACAGCCGCUGCGGAACUACAUUUCCCAGCGCUGCCGGGGGGGGGAAGAGCUGCUGGGACCCACGGUGGCUGUUUCGGGUGGAAGCCCCGCUUCCAGCUGAGGUCAAGGUGGGAUCCCAGCGCCGAUCCCUGCUGCUGGGGGCGGCGUUUCUUCUGCGGGGAGCGCAGUAAGUUGGGGACAAGGCGUGGGGAGUGACAGGCAGAGAUUUUCCACGCACCCCCCCCACCGUCCGGCUGCGCGGCGUGGCCGAGACUCACAUGGGAGUUGGGGCUGGCCUCCCGACGUGGAGUUUUUCAGCAAUCCUCACCAAAAUCUGCCGUGGUGGCUCCUAGGAAGGAAGGGGUUAAACGCCUUCACACACUGCAUUUCAUCCUGCCAGAUCUGCUCCGCGCCGCGAUAGGAUGUUCCGUUGGAUGGAGGCCACUCCAACUGUGUAGGAAACAAACAAGAGAGCAGUCACCUUCCCUGCUCUUUCCCCCAGGGACACAGAAGUUCAGGGCAGGAAUAUUUAAUCUAGCCUCACAGCAAUUUCUCUGAGACCUGUGCACGCUCACAGCUGGAAACAAACCCAGGCAGAGACAGCAACCCGUAGGUGUUGGUUAUGGCUGCGAUUUAUCAAGCAGUAUGUAGAAGAGCUUCCUCUCUCACCUGCAGGUUACACUCCACCUACGUUAGAAAAAUGAGGUAAGAUCUCUGAUUUUCUUGUGUGCAGUGAGAAGACCAGGGUUUGGCUCUCUUGUGUCCACUGUCACAAUCUAACCCGGGGGGUUAAUCUUUUAA
rnacentral:lncRNA from 1 species